UAUCAUGAGACUUCGAUAAUUGGCUUCCGAAGGUGUAUGGAUAUCAUGAGACUUUGAUCAUUAGCUUCCGAAGGUGUAUAGUAAGUUGGAUUGAUAACCAUAUGAACAUGAUAAUUGGCUUCCGAAGGUGUAUUGAUAUCACGAGACUUUGAUCAUUGGCUUCCGACGAUGUAUAGUAAGUUGGAUUUGACAACCAUAUGAACAAGCAAUACGUUACAAAAUGAAACUGCUAAGGAGCUGAGUGAUACUUCAAAUUGUCUCACGUGUUGGAGAAUUGAGAACAAUCAUUCUACUUGCAUUGGAAACUU
rnacentral:lncRNA from 1 species